rnacentral:rRNA from 1 species
UACGUAGGGCCCAAGCGUUGUGCGGAUUUACUGGGCGUAAAGGGCGCGUAGGUGGCAAAUUAAGUCAUCUGUGAAAUCUCCGAGCUUAACUCGGAACGGUCAGGUGAUACUGAUCUGCUAGAGUGCGGAAGGGGCAAUCGGAAUUCUUGGUGUAGCGGUGAAAUGCGUAGAUAUCAAGAGGAACACCUGAGGUGAAGACGGGUUGCUGGGCCGACACUGACGCUGACAGCGCGAAAGCCAGGGGAGCAAACAGG